rnacentral:tRNA from 1 species
AAAUUUAGGAUAAUCUAAACCAAGAACCUUCAAAGUUCUAAACAGAAGAUAACCUUCUAAUUUCUG